UUAAGUGACUAAGCGUACACGGUGGAUGCCUAGGCAGUCAGAGGCGAUGAAGGGCGUGCUAAUCUGCGAAAAGCGUCGGUAAGGUGAUAUGAACCGUUACAACCGGCGAUACCCGAAUGGGGAAACCCAGUGUGUUUCGACACACUAUCAUGUCAUGAAUACAUAGUGGCAUGAGGCGAACCGGGGGAACUGAAACAUCUAAGUACCCCGAGGAAAAGAAAUCAACCGAGAUUCCCCCAGUAGCGGCGAGCGAACGGGGAGGAGCCCAGAACCUGAAUCGGCUUGUGUGUUAGUGGAAGCGUCUGGAAAGUCGCGCAGUAAAGGGUGAUAGCCCCGUACACUAAAAUGCACAGGUCGUGAGUUCGAUGAGUAGGGCGGGACACGUGACAUCCUGUCUGAAUAUGGGGGGACCAUCCUCCAAGGCUAAAUACUCCUGACUGACCGAUAGUGAACCAGUACCGUGAGGGAAAGGCGAAAAGAACCCCGGCGAGGGGAGUGAAAUAGAACCUGAAACCGUGUACGUACAAGCAGUGGGAGCACCUUCGUGGUGUGACUGCGUACCUUUUGUAUAAUGGGUCAGCGACUUAUAUUUUGUAGCAAGGUUAACCGUAUAGGGGAGCCGUAGGGAAACCGAGUCUUAACUGGGCGAAUAGUUGCAAGGUAUAGACCCGAAACCCGGUGAUCUAGCCAUGGGCAGGUUGAAGGUUGGGUAACACUAACUGGAGGACCGAACCGACUAAUGUUGAAAAAUUAGCGGAUGACUUGUGGCUGGGGGUGAAAGGCCAAUCAAACCGGGAGAUAGCUGGUUCUCCCCGAAAGCUAUUUAGGUAGCGCCUCGUGAACUCAUCUUCGGGGGUAGAGCACUGUUUCGGCUAGGGGGCCAUCCCGGCUUACCAAACCGAUGCAAACUCCGAAUACCGAAGAAUGUUAUCACGGGAGACACACGGCGGGUGCUAACGUCCGUCGUGAAGAGGGAAACAACCCAGACCGCCAGCUAAGGUCCCAAAGUCAUGGUUAAGUGGGAAACGAUGUGGGAAGGCAUAGACAGCCAGGAUGUUGGCUUAGAAGCAGCCAUCAUUUAAAGAAAGCGUAAUAGCUCACUGGUCGAGUCGGCCUGCGCGGAAGAUGUAACGGGGCUAAACCAUGCACCGAAGCUGCGGCAGCGACGCUUAGGCGUUGUUGGGUAGGGGAGCGUUCUGUAAGCCGUUGAAGGUGGCCUGUGAGGGUUGCUGGAGGUAUCAGAAGUGCGAAUGCUGACAUAAGUAACGAUAAAGCGGGUGAAAAGCCCGCUCGCCGGAAGACCAAGGGUUCCUGUCCAACGUUAAUCGGGGCAGGGUGAGUCGACCCCUAAGGCGAGGCUGAAAAGCGUAGUCGAUGGGAAACAGGUUAAUAUUCCUGUACUUGGUGUUACUGCGAAGGGGGGACGGAGAAGGCUAGGCUAGCCGGGCGACGGUUGUCCCGGUUUAAGCGUGUAGGGGGUGUGACCUGGUAAAUCCGGUUGCAUAUCAACCCUGAGGCGUGAUGACGAUGCACUACGGUGCAGAAGUAGUUGAUGCCCUGCUUCCAGGAAAAGCCUCUAAGCUCCAGGUAACAUUAAAUCGUACCCCAAACCGACACAGGUGGUCAGGUAGAGAAUACCAAGGCGCUUGAGAGAACUCGGGUGAAGGAACUAGGCAAAAUGGUGCCGUAACUUCGGGAGAAGGCACGCUGGCAUGUAGGUGAAGUCCCUUGCGGAUGGAGCUGAAGCCAGUCGAAGAUACCAGCUGGCUGCAACUGUUUAAUAAAAACACAGCACUGUGCAAACACGAAAGUGGACGUAUACGGUGUGACGCCUGCCCGGUGCUGGAAGGUUAAUUGAUGGGGUCAGCCGCAAGGCGAAGCUCUUGAUCGAAGCCCCAGUAAACGGCGGCCGUAACUAUAACGGUCCUAAGGUAGCGAAAUUCCUUGUCGGGUAAGUUCCGACCUGCACGAAUGGCGUAAUGAUGGCCAGGCUGUCUCCACCCGAGACUCAGUGAAAUUGAACUCGCUGUGAAGAUGCAGUGUACCCGCGGCAAGACGGAAAGACCCCGUGAACCUUUACUAUAGCUUGACACUGAACAUUGAGCCUUGAUGUGUAGGAUAGGUGGGAGGCUUUGAAGCGUGGACGCCAGUCUGCGUGGAGCCAUCCUUGAAAUACCACCCUUUAAUGUUUGAUGUUCUAACUCGGCCCCAUAAUCUGGGGUGAGGACAGUGUCUGGUGGGUAGUUUGACUGGGGCGGUCUCCUCCCAAAGAGUAACGGAGGAGCACGAAGGUUAGCUAAUCACGGUCGGACAUCGUGAGGUUAGUGCAAAGGCAUAAGCUAGCUUGACUGCGAGAGUGACGGCUCGAGCAGGUACGAAAGUAGGUCUUAGUGAUCCGGUGGUUCUGAAUGGAAGGGCCAUCGCUCAACGGAUAAAAGGUACUCCGGGGAUAACAGGCUGAUACCGCCCAAGAGUUCAUAUCGACGGCGGUGUUUGGCACCUCGAUGUCGGCUCAUCACAUCCUGGGGCUGAAGUAGGUCCCAAGGGUAUGGCUGUUCGCCAUUUAAAGUGGUACGCGAGCUGGGUUUAGAACGUCGUGAGACAGUUCGGUCCCUAUCUGCCGUGGGCGUUGGAAGAUUGAGAGGGGUUGCUCCUAGUACGAGAGGACCGGAGUGAACGCACCACUGGUGUUCGGGUUGUCAUGCCAAUGGCAUUGCCCGGUAGCUAAGUGCGGAAAAGAUAAGCGCUGAAAGCAUCUAAGCGCGAAACUUGCCUCAAGAUGAGUCUUCCCUGGGCCUUUAAGGCCCCUGAAGGAACGUUUAAGACUAAGACGUUGAUAGGCUGGGUGUGUAAGUGCAGCGAUGCAUUGAGCUAACCAGUACUAAUGAUCCGUGAGGCUUAACCUU
rnacentral:rRNA from 1 species